CAGUAGCCGCGGGAAUACGAAGGGGGCUAGCGUUGCUCGGAUUUACUGGGCGUAAAGCGCACGUAGGCGGACUUUUAAGUCAGGGGUGAAAUCCCGGGGCUCAACCCCGGAACUGCCUUUGAUACUGGAAGUCUUGAGUAUGGUAGAGGUGAGUGGAAUUCCGAGUGUAGAGGUGAAAUGCGUAGAGAUGUGGAGGAACACCAGUGGCGAAGGCGACUCUCUGGUCUGUAACUGACGCUGAGGAGCGAAAGCGUGGGGAGCGAACAGGAUUAGAUACCCCGGUAGUCCCUGUCUCUUAUAC
rnacentral:rRNA from 1 species